CCUACGGGGGGCAGCAGUGGGGAAUUUUGGACAAUGGGGGCAACCCUGAUCCAGCCAUGCCGCGUGAGUGAAGAAGGCCUUCGGGUUGUAAAGCUCUUUCGGCCGGGAAGAAAUCGCUCAAGCUAAUACCUUGGGUGGAUGACGGUACCGGAAGAAGAAGCACCGGCUAACUACGUGCCAGCAGCCGCGGUAAUACGUAUGGUACGAGCGUUAGUUGGAAGUGCUGGGCGUAAAGCAUGAGAAGGCGGCGAAAUCCCCGGGCUUAACCUGGGAACUGCGUUUGUGACUGUGGUGCUCGAGUGCGGCAGAGGGGGGUGGAAUUCCACGUGUAGCAGUGAAAUGCGUAGAGAUGUGGAGGAACACCGAUGGCGAAGGCAGCCCCCUGGGUCGACACUGACGCUCAUGCACGAAAGCGUGGGGAGCAAACAGGAUUAGAUACCCUAGUAGUC
rnacentral:rRNA from 1 species